rnacentral:tRNA from 1 species
UUAGUUAAAGCCAAAAUAGAGGCAAAUUAUUGUUAAUAAUUUAAUUGAACUCCUACUUCUAACUGAA